GUACGGGAGGCAGCAGUGGGGAAUAUUGGACAAUGGGCGAAAGCCUGAUCCAGCAAUGCCGCGUGAGUGAUGAAGGCCUUAGGGUUGUAAAGCUCUUUUACUGGGGAUGAUAAUGACAGUACCCAGAGAAUAAGCCCCGGCUAACUCCGUGCCAGCAGCCGCGGUAAUACGGAGGGGGCUAGCGUUGUUCGGAAAUACUGGGCGUAAAGCGCACGUAGGCGGUGAAGUAAGUCAGAGGUGAAAUCCCAGGGCUCAACCCUGGAACUGCCUUUGAAACUGCUACACUAGAAUCAUGGAGAGGUCAGUGGAAUUCCGAGUGUAGAGGUGAAAUUCGUAGAUAUUCGGAAGAACACCAGUGGCGAAGGCGACUGACUGGACAUGUAUUGACGCUGAGGUGCGAAAGCGUGGGGAGCAAACAGGAUUAGAUACCCCAGUAGUCCG
rnacentral:rRNA from 1 species